CCUGCACUCUCGUGGCUUUAGAAAAACUAAAAGUAAAAUAACACACGCUUGCGGGAAUUGAUCUCAGCUCUCUUGGAAACAAAUGGCCCAGCAAGACCGCUGGACCACAGCCUUAAUGUCUUCACAAGCGGAUUCAUUUUUAUUAUACCUUCUACUUUUAUAUAAAAUUUAUACAUAUACACACCAAAUUUUUUUGACGAAGCGGGUUGAGUUGAACCCUCUUGAUAUAACGUGGGUCCGCCCCUGCCCACAACCCACUAGUCAUCACCACCACCAAACACCACAGAAUUUUUUUAAAAUUAUGUUGUUGAUAUAUUAUUCGAUUAAUUGGUAUUUUAUUUGAAUUUCA
rnacentral:lncRNA from 1 species